AGAGUUUGAUCCUGGCUCAGGAUGAACGCUGGCGGCGUGCCUAACACAUGCAAGUCGAGCGAAGCGAUUCGGAUGAAGUUUUCGGAUGGAUUUUGGAUUGACUGAGCGGCGGACGGGUGAGUAACGCGUGGGUAACCUGCCUCAUACAGGGGGAUAACAGUUAGAAAUGACUGCUAAUACCGCAUAAGCGCACAGUACCGCAUGGUACGGUGUGAAAAACUCCGCGG
rnacentral:rRNA from 1 species